GAGGAGGAGGAUUCUUACCAAGCAUUUCAUCUUUAAGACCCUGUCCUCGAGAACCAAAAACUUUCCUUUCCUCCCAUAUAUCAACCAGUCUAGUCACCACUUUCUUCCCAUGUUCAUCCCCAUUUUCAUAAACUUGUUUGAGUGUUGCAGGAAGAACUUUCCAGAAUUCAUUAACAAACUCACUACCCUUCCGCCUGCUAUUUUGCAAUAUGUCAUUAGCUAAAUAUAGAAAAGAGACACGCUGCUCUCUCUGGGAUGAGUUGAACAAUUUAUCCCAUAUUUCAACAAUCUGUCUUGCUUUUUU
rnacentral:misc_RNA from 1 species